rnacentral:rRNA from 1 species
AGUGAACGCUGGCGGUAGGCCUAACACAUGCAAGUCGAACGGCAGCACAGUAAGAGCUUGCUCUUACGGGUGGCGAGUGGCGGACGGGUGAGGAAUACAUCGGAAUCUACUUUUUCGUGGGGGAUAACGUAGGGAAACUUACGCUAAUACCGCAUACGACCUACGUGUGAAAGCAGGGGAUCUUCGGACCUUGCGCGAUCGAAUGAGCCGAUGUCGGAUUAGCUAGUUGGCGGGGUAAAGGCCCACCAAGGCGACGAUCCGUAGCUGGUCUGAUAGGAUGAUCAGCCACACUGGAACGGAGACGCGGUCCAGACUCCUACGGGAGGCAGCAGAGGGGAAUAUAGGACAAUGGGAGCAAGCAUGAUCCAGCCAUACCGCGUGGGUGAAAAAGGCCUUCGGGUUGUAAAGCCCUUUUGUUGGGAAAGAAAAGCAGCAGGUUAAUACCCCGCUGUUCUGACGGUACCCAAAGAAUAAGCACCGGCUAACUUCGUG